AGUCGAGCGGAUGAGAAGAGCUUGCUCUUCGAUUCAGCGGCGGACGGGUGAGUAAUACCUAGGAAUCUGCCUGGUAGUGGGGGACAACGUUUCGAAAGGAACGCUAAUACCGCAUACGUCCUACGGGAGAAAGCAGGGGACCUUCGGGCCUUGCGCUAUCAGAUGAGCCUAGGUCGGAUUAGCUAGUUGGUGAGGUAAUGGCUCACCAAGGCGACGAUCCGUAACUGGUCUGAGAGGAUGACCAGUCACACUGGAACUGAGACACGGUCCAGACUCCUACGGGAGGCAGCAGUGGGGAAUAUUGGACAAUGGGCGAAAGCCUGAUCCAGCCAUGCCGCGUGUGUGAAGAAGGUCUUCGGAUUGUAAAGCACUUUAAGUUGGGAGGAAGGGUUGUUUCCUAAUACGAAGCAAUUUUGACGUUACCGACAGAAUAAGCACCGGCUAACUCUGUGCCAGCAGCCGCGGUAAUACAGAGGGUGCAAGCGUUAAUCGGAAUUACUGGGCGUAAAGCGCGCGUAGGUGGUUUGUUAAGCUGAAUGUGAAAUCCCCGGGCUCAACCUGGGAACUGCAUCCAAAACUGGCAAGCUAGAGUAGGGCAGAGGGUGGUGGAAUUUCCUGUGUAGCGGUGAAAUGCGUAGAUAUAGGAAGGAACACCAGUGGCGAAGGCGACCACCUGGGCUCAUACUGACACUGAGGUGCGAAGGCGUGGGGAGCAAACAGGAUUAGAUACCCUGGUAGUCCACGCCGUAAACGAUGUCAACUAGCCGUUGGGAGUCUUGAACUCUUAGUGGCGCAGCUAACGCAUUAAGUUGACCGCCUGGGGAGUACGGCCGCAAGGUUAAAACUCAAAUGAAUUGAC
rnacentral:rRNA from 1 species